rnacentral:misc_RNA from 1 species
UCUCCGUAGGUGAACCUGCGGAGGGAUCAUUACAGAGUUCAUGCCCUACCGGGUAGAUCUCCCACCCUAUGUUAUUAUUACUUUGUUGCUUUGGCGGGCCGUUAGGCUCCGGCCCGACUACCGGCCCCGGCUGGUAAGCGCCCGCCAGAGGACCCAAAACUCUGAAUAUUAGUGUCGUCUGAGUACUAUAUAAUAGUUAAAACUUUCAACAACGGAUCUCUUGGUUCUG